rnacentral:sRNA from 1 species
AACAUGAUAUCUCCGAACUUCAUUUUUACAAGAUGGGGGAACCAAUUUUUUGGGGUGAAUCUUCUUAACUGAAGAAGGGCGAUUUGGGCGCCCUAAUCCGUCAGCUAACCUCACAGGAGUACACCAAAGCGUAU